CUGCGCGGGGGCGGGGCGUGGCGGCGCGCGCCGCUCUGAGGCGUCUGGCGGCCCCGCCGCGCGCGCUCUGUGAUCACAUACAACAUUCCUGUGCAGAGAGUGCAUUUAUUUACUACAGACUUGGAACUGUAGGUGAAAUGGAGAAGUCCAAGAGCAGUUUAAAAUCUCUGAAGAUGCAUGCAACCCAACAACUUCAUAGACCUAAAAUGCAUGUGACUGGUCUAUCUGUUGCUUGUCAGUCUGUUGCUCCACAACCUGCUGGACAUCGAUUUCAGAACAGGGGUUAUCACAAUCUAUGUCUAGUUGGGUAUACCUGCAAUAAAGGAAGAAGGUUAAAAGAACUACGAAUCAGAUACCUAGCAAGAAAAUUCUUCUAUCUGUGGGCAAAAAAGACAUUUGGACAAGUUCUCCCUUCUGAAGUCAGAUGCAACUACGACCAGCAGAUUCUUCAAAAAACUUCUGGAGAGUGGGAGGAGGAGUGGUGGACUGUUUGCAGAGAGAAGAAACUAAUCCUCAGAGCUGAUUGCCAUUAUAGGUAUUUCCUCUACAGCCUGAUAUUCAAGGCUUGGAGAGCCUAUGUAUGCCAGCAACAAGAAAAGAGGAAUAAGGAUUAUGUUGCAGAGUCCCAUGCAAAUAAACAGAGAGUGCUCUGGACAUGGCAACGCUGGCUGAUUUACGUUGAUGUUCGAAGGACAAAACGUGGAAUGCAGUCUGUGGCACUGGCAUUCAGGGAAAGAAGCUGUUUGCGCAUAUCAUGGGCAGUGUGGAGAAGGCGACGCUACCAGAACCAUUCUGGACGUAAAAUGAAUGUUUUGGCUCUGCAGCACUGGGCCCAGAGCCUGCAGUUCCGAGCUUGGCUGCAGUGGCGAGAGCUGUAUUUAUACAGUCAGAAUGAGAAGCAGAAGGAGACUAGGGCAGUAACUCUCCGUCAGCACUGGCAACUGAAGACAUGUAUGGAGGCAUGGCUGGGAUACUUAAACCUCCAAAGGGCGAAGAGACGUCAGAAUGAGCUGGCUCGGGAGCAUCACCAAGGCAGGGUAGUCCAGCAGUGUUUCUCAGACUGGCAGCUGUCAUGGGAGUGCAGGAGAAGAAUGCAUGCUCACCAAAAGCGCAUUGAAAAGCUAGCAGCAAAGAUUGUCUUAUGGAGAGUCUUUGCACGCUGGAAGCAUUAUGUUGUACUGUGUGUGGAAGAGGCUUGGCAGUGUGAGCUGGCCGAAAAACACCACAGGCAUCGUCUGUUGCAAUUUGGGUUUAACAGUCUUCGGCAGAAUGUCGUGAAUGCUCGUCUUCAGCAAAUGAGAAAAAAUCUGGCGUACCGUCAGCAUCAAGUCACAGUGCUGCAGAACUUCUGGAACCGUUGGAAGUCACGUUUGGAAGAGAAGGAGGAAGAACAGCAGCAGGCUUUAACAUCAGUGGCUCAUACCCAUUACAGGGAGGUGUUGAUGAGAAAGGUAUUUGACAUGUGGUGGCUGAGGGCAUGCAAGCAGCAAGAAUACCGAGUGGGAGAGAAGAAGGCUGUACUUCAUUUUGAGAGGCAACUGUUGGUUUGUUUCUGGUGCUUCUGGCGCAGAAGAACAAAUGCACGCUUGCAGGAGCAAGAGGACUUGGUUCGUGCCAGAGAUCACUACAGCUACGUGCUGCUGUUAAAGGCUUUCUGUCUGUGGAAGCAAAAUACUCAGGAGAGAAAAACAGAGAGGCUCAAGGAGAUGCAAGCUGUACAAUUUCACUAUUCAAAGUGUCUGCAGUGGUCUUGGAACAAGUGGAGAGAGUAUGUGGGACGUAAGUUUGAGAAAUGGAAGAAGUUGGUGCAAGCAGACAUGCACUAUCAGCACACAUUGCUGGGCAAGGCCUUGGCAGCCUGGAAGAGUUACCAGCAUAACGUACAGUGCAUUCUAUACCAAGUAGCUGAAAAGGAGAAACAACAUGCUAGACUACUGCUGCGACAGGUGCUGCAUAUAUGGAGAGAAAAUGCCCGUGCUCUUGUACAUGAAGCGAAGGCAGCUACUCGGGCAGAUCGGCAUUACAGGAGAGUGAUCGUGUUAAAGGUAUUGCUGCAGUGGAGGGAUGCGGCCUCACUACGAGUAUGUUAUCGUCAGCAGAAGCUGGCAGCUGUGAAGGAGGUCAGAAAGCAUUUGGAUGUAGUGCGUUUACAGACCCUGUUCCUUCACUGGAAGGAAUUCACUGUGGAGUCUCUGAUGCUGAGAGCUAAGCAGGACAGGGCAGUGCAGCACCAUCAACGGCACCUGCUCCGGAAGUACCUGGUGAAUUGGAAGAAAUACCAUCAGCAGUAUACUGCGAAGAUGCUCCUACAGAGACAGGGUUAUCAGCUAACGACUCGGAGACUUUGCUCUAACUGCUUCUCCUGCUGGAAGAAACGGCUGGUGCAGCGGCAAUGGGAAAAGCAAGAGACAGUGCGAGCGUUGUGGCACUGGUCCCUUUCAUUGCAGGGGAAGGUGUUUGGUGCUUGGCUGGGAUUUGCCCGGGAGCAACAGCGGAAGAAAGAUCGCAUUGAAAGAGCCGUAGGAGUUCACCGCACUACCCUUCUGAAAGAAGGUGUAACCCGGAUCUUGAGAUACACCGCUGGCAUGAAACAGUUGCGGAGGCGGCUCCAAGCCCAGCACCAGCUGAAGGCAGCCUACAACCUUCACCAAUCAGUGUAUCGUUAUGCCAUGCUCUGGAAACAGAAGGCACUCUACAAGAAAUUAAAUAAGCCGCCUUCUCUUCUGCCGCCUCUGAAGAAGCAAGUAACGUUUAAGGUGCCUGAUGUUAACCCAAGGACAAGAGGAUGUUCAGCAGAGGAAGCGCCGCGGCCCUCAAAAAGCAAUGAUUUACCAUUUCUCCUUGCUGCUGGGGACUCAAUUCUCAGUGAGCUAAAUGCUCUUCGACAAGCAAGGUUACCGCCACGAAGACCUGACUUCCUUCUGGAAUCUCUAGAAAGCAAGGAACUGCUGGGAACUCCUUUUACUAGACCAGAGACACCUUUUCAGCAAACAGUUGUGAACAAAUGUUCUGCUCAGGCUGGACACUUAAUGCUAUCAACUCAAAUGGAAGAAAGCACCUGCAAUCAGCUGUCUCAAGUGGGCAGUGCCACUCACGCCUACCCAUCUCUUGUACGUGCUGCUCCCUCCCCUGUACCAGUGUGGACAGAUGACGUGCAGCAUGCUCUUCAAAUCUGUCCAAGGCCAGAGCUGUGGCCUCCUUCAUCAUUCAUGCCCCGAAUGAAAGCUGAAGCAGGAAAGAGAGGAGGUCAGCCUGUGAAUGGUCACACAGAAGCACAUUCCCAAGAUUCCCAACAGGCCUCUGUGGGGAAGAAAUUGCGACCAAACUUGCAGCCACAUCUGCUGUCACCUGAAGACUUUGUGGGAAAAGAGAGUCAUCAAACUGCAGCUGAAGGAGAAGAAAGGGAGCACAAUUCCAGAGGAGAAAGGUUGUUACAAAGACAGCUGGAAGCAGAGCUCCAACAUAUCCAGCAGCAAAUGCAGUACUACUUCAGCAGGAAGCAGGAACUCAAGUCCUGUCAGCAGCAGGCACAGAUUCUGCAGAAGUGGCUGGAAACAAGCACACAACCGAAGGACCAAGAUGGUGUACAAGAAGUACAAGAAGAAUUGGAUCAGUUGGAGAUGAGGAUCAACACUCUCACCAAAGCACAACUAAAAGAGAGACAUCACGUACAGAAGUUGGUUGCCCGUCUCCACGAUAUUCACAUUGCUCUGGAUAUAUAAUUCUGCUGAAUCAAUCUUCCAGCUUGCGGUUACUGGGAAACAGUGAAGACCACUCUCAUCCUUCACUGGAAGGCUGAAAGCAACCUCGACUGUGAUCUACAGCUUUCCCUGUUAGAGAAUGAAAGGUUCAAAUUUCCUACCUGGGAAUGAUUCUUUUCAUGCUGCCCUGCCCCCUUUUCACUCAUUCACACCUACAGCUUCACCUUGACUGUGUUUCCAGGUAGUGACAACCUGCUAUUAAGGAGGGGGCAAAAUCUGUGUUGGGAAUCCAUUUCAAAGUAUCUGCCCCUGUUGAAGCUUCUUCUAGCAUCUGUCAUGCUCCCCAUCACCAGUUUGAAGUGCAGGGACUCAUAUCCAUAGUGUCUGACACUACUCCUCUACAAAAGAUGUAAUUAACUUCCCCCUUAUUUCAUCUGUAAGUAAGUUCACAUGUGAUGACUACUGUUAACUGUCAUCAAACAGGCCCUCAAGAGAGAUCAUGGUAAAGACAGACUCCAAGCUAGUGCCUAGUCUCAGCCCUGAUAGUUAGAACUGAAAAAAGCCUUCUCGUAGCAGCUUAAGAUCCAUCUAACAAAAGGCCACAGGCUACUAAAAGCAAGUCAAAUAACUUUUUACAGCUUAGUAAUGGGUUUUAGUGGAAAGCACUCCCUGCAGUUCUCUUUGGUAAUGCAAAGAGAUGGUUACUAAGCCUGCAGAUGAAAGGCAAGUAGCUAGCUAGCUAGACCUGACCAAGGAAUACUAAAUAAAGUUUUAAAAGAAAGUUGAUUACAGUAAGAACCUCAAGGACUUCAACCCCCUAAUGGUCCUUACAGUAAAAUAUAUUCACUACACAGAUUUUUAGCUAUAAAACCACAUUUGCUUUGCUGUGUUGGAUCUGAUGGUAGCAUUUCACUCAAAACCUGUUAUUUUAAUCAAGCUCUAGCUUCAAUCUGAAACUUGAGAGAUUUCUCAAACCUCUUGGCAUGUCUUUAUCUCUCCCUUAGUGUAUCUGAAACCAAAUCCAAAUCCUUAGGUUUUUGCUCUGUACCAAGAAGGUUUUUUUUUCAAUCUGCAAAGGAGAGGAGAACAAAAAUAUUUGAUCAUCUCAGCUCCAGCAGACUGAGUGUCUAGUUAUAUCUUCUUGGCCAAGUACAGGAAAGAGAUCAUAUUUUAGGCUACCGUUUGCUCUGAUCUUCAGAGAUAUCUUUAUUUCAGAUGCAAACUGAGUAAUUCUUUUUCUGGGAACAAGUCAGGUCAGCCUGCAUCAACAAUUAUUUCAAAGAGUUAGGACAGCCUGAAUACAAUAUUCCUGUUUCCACCAUUCAUAUGUGAUUUGUACUGGCAAACUAUACUACCUUAACAUUCAUUAUUGUGUGUGACAGAUCACUUUCCUCCAGUUAUCUAUCGUGUGACUGUAUGACUGCUCUGCUGGCAUGUCUCAUUCAGCAGUGGCCCAUGCCAGUGCUUCUCUCCACUGUUGCUCUGCAUUCAUUUUCUAAGAACAGGAACCUACCUGGGAAAUGUCGUCGGUGUGACACUCUCCAGUCAGUGGGAGAAUGGAAGCAGUGAUAAUCCCCUGGCGCAAGGUAGAUCACACAGUGGUAGAGCUCAUUCCCCUCCUUUGUGACAAGUUGUUGCUGAAAUGAGUUGCCAGGUGGGGCUGCAAGGAAACCAUGGAAGGAAAGGGAUUAAAGAUAUUCUUCAUGUAAUCAUGUACUCUAGCUUAGAAGUCUGUAUUAUAAUCAGUGGUAAUAGCAGAGCACUAAAUGCAGCCCACAUGCAUUGCUGAGACUACAAAAAGGCACAUUCAUCCCCAGGAAUCCAACAUUUCAAGGUGCUUGUUUCCUUUUACAACAGAACUGGAUCCUGUACUAAGUUUUAAACAUUUUGGAAAUUUAUUAGUUUUAGCGUUUCACCUUCCCAAAACAGCACAACAGAAACUGAAAUUCAGUGAAACAGAAUUCUUCCUCAAAGCCACCCUUUCAAGAAUGGAAUUUGUAGAGAGGCCUUAGGUUUACAAUAUGCAUUAAUUGCAUCUGCAUAUGUAUUGAAAAUAACUACUGUUUGCAGAGGGCUCUCUCUCUCCAGUCCCCUCUCAGGUUUAGCAAAACAUGUUGCUCUCAUCAAAACCAAAGGCCUUAAAAGACAGUGCUUCAGGCACAGCAGAAGCAGUGGCAGCGCAAGUCAAUUGAAGUAUGCUGCUUCUGCAUCAAACUUUUUUAUGGAGCAUCUUGUACAGUCUUUGCUAACCAGGUGCUUAGGCACAUUUGAGUGACAAGCAGGAGUGCUACAGCCUUGUUAUAGGGGCAGAUCUUAAAAUCUGUUUUAAUCAUUAAUAAAACCACACAUAAAGGAACCAAGUGAUUAAUGGAGAGAAUCAGAAUGAUUCAGGCAAGAUGGGACAAAGCUACUGAAGAGGAGGAAAACUAAAACACAGUGAUAUGUUUAUCCUCAAAUGUAAGAUACACAUUACAAAAAAACAGAACUACUUUUGUUCCUGACAAUGUGAAAAAAAAAACCCCAUGAUAUGUAUUCUCUUGCUCUCUGAGAGCACUGAAGUGGCAGUGCAGAGCAUGUACAAGGUCCAGUUGAUGCACAACUUACCUUGGCUAAAAUGCAACUCCUCUGUGCCGAUGCGAGGUCCCAAGAAAGAUUCCAGUGAAUAAGUAACACCUUUCACCUGCUCCACUUCACAGUUUUUUACCUGUCCAAAGUUAAGUAUCUUUCCAUCAGAGGGACUAAUCUACAGAGAAGAGAAAAGAAAGGAAACACAUUAGAAAUUCAUGCAUAUCUCAUCUGUCCAGCCAUCACAGCAAGCAGAAAACAUAUCAACUGAUCAUUUCAAACACUGAAUGCACUUUUCUUCCUUCACAUCGAGCUCCUGUAAAAAGUGAAGUUGUGAAAGUUCUGUGUGGGAUUCUGGUCUAUGCUUUGUGUCUUUUAAUUAUCUAAGACAAAAGUUUAGAUAUGCUCCUUUUCUGGGGGAAAAAGCCUGUAGUGUAAAGCUGUCAUUUCCUUUUACUCACCACACUGUGCAAACAGCAGACUGGCCGUGCUUGUGGUUUCAGCUUCCUGCGGAAGAAUUCACUGAGGUUUCUAUAGUGAUGUAAAUCUUCAACAGCUGCCUCCUUCAUGUUCACUCCAAAUGUCCAGAUGUAUAGGCUGUAAACAGGCUUCCGGAGCCAUGUAGGCAGCUCCACCUGGUUCAGGCGACCCCAGGCUCGUGAGAGCAGGCGAGUUGGUACCGAUUUGUACAGAGCAACCUAAAGAAAGAAGAAUUACACCAUGUCAUUCACAGUUCUUCCCACUGCUGGCUUUCCCUCAUCUCUCCCCAUAAAACAGAAGGGCUCAAACUGUUCCUGCUAACACUGCCUUGAAUCCAGUGAGUUACACCAUGCAGGAAGUAGCCUUGAUGAUGUCUGCAGAAAAUUACACUGCACUUCAUCCUCAUUUCUGCUAUUCUGAUGAGAACAGAUGAGGGAUAGGAUGGAGCGGAGGAGCUUAUUAUAACUUUAUAUCGAAGCCGGAAACUCCAUUCCCUUGCAGGCUGGAGCUUCACAUACAAGUUACUGGAAACUGCCCAUGUGAGGCUUACAGAAAAAAAGACACAUUUCACACAUUCUAGUAGAACCCUCAUCAGAGGGGUUUAAUAUUACCAAUGUAUUCAUUUCUGUAAACAACCAAAGGAAAAUUGACUAAAAAAUAACUUCUCUAUGUUUGAUAAAGUACUUCUCAGAUGGCCAUCUACUACUGAAGGUAUUUUUCUACACCUCACAAUUCUGCUGCUUAAUGACAUUGGAACAAUUAAAGAAACAUACCCAUGUGGAUGCUGCUACACUGGUAUAAACUCAUGCCAGUAAUGCCCCUUCUCUUGCAAGAAUGGGAGUUGCUAAUAGAGACUUUUACCUUUGGACUUAUGCCAAAGCAUAAGUUUUGGUAGCAAGAAAAACAAAUGACACAAUGUUAAGAGGUAUGUUGUUCAUAUAACCGGGCAGAUGACAGGUCUUCCUGCUGGGUAAUUCCAGGAGAUAACUCUUCUGAGGUUUAUGGUACUUAGUGUCAGCCAAAAAAGCUUGUAUAAGCCUGAUGUAACUGGGCAGGAUGGGGGAACACUGAACCCUCUGAAACCAGUUUUGCAAAAGAAAUAAUAAUCUGCUAAUUCUGGUACAGUCUUUUUGAACAGUACAACUGGCUGGAUUUAACUUCCAAGUUAAAAAAAAACCUUUUUAUUACUUAGCAAAAGUCAUCAUUUAUUCCCAGUGGUAGUCAGUCAUAUCCUUCACUAUUAAGCCUUGCAGAAUACAGCAAUAAAUGCAAACAAAAGCACACACCAGCUGAGAGCUUGUCCCUCCUAUCAAAUAUGCUUAUUUCACUCACGAAAUACCCUCCUGCAUCACAUCAAAAUACAGUGAUAUUUAAGAAAGAAGCCACCAAUUUAAUCUUACUUCAAAUAAAAGCUUUAAAUCAGUGGUACUUCAGGUUAUAUAAACUGAAGUACUAAAGAAAAAUGUAUUGCCGUUUUAUUUGACAUGCCUUAUACAGUGUCAAUUUCUAAAAUCAAUUCUGCUCAAUUUUCUACAGUGAAACUCAGAUACAACUGUAAAUUCACAAAAAUUGUCAAAGUGGUAUUUCCCAGUAGUACCUACUCUUCACAAAAGGCUGCUUUUCAAAUUGAUGGGAUCAAAGAAUAGCAGUUAAAAGGAAAUCAUCUCAUGAACUGCAGUUUUGUUACAGUUUUCAGUCAAAAUAUAUGCAUGGAUGUUGCAUUUGUAGUUGCAUGAUAUGUUUAAAGAAUAUUUAUAUGGAAGGCUUCCUACCCACCGCUCUCAACAGCUUCAGAGCAGAGAUUUGCAUUAGCAUGUCAUUUGGACAGUCUGUAUUACAGAUGCUCAAAGAACUUGAGAAACAAACCCUUCUUAUGCAAAAAUGACAGCAAACAAGAGCAUUCGAAUAUGGCCAAGAAAUGGAACUGGAGAAACAGUUUGGUCUGCCUUGUCCUAGCCCUGAUACUUAGAGGGCAGGUGACUGAAUCAGUUCAAAAGUUUCUACUCAUUUUCCUGGGCAUACCCACGACCGCUAGAGGACAUAAAGAAAUUCUCUGCUACAGAACAAUCACCUGUCUGUGAGGCAAUUAGUCACCAAAAUUACAAAUAGUAAAACCUCAAGAGAAACAUGAAUUGCAUCUCUCUGUUUUCAUACUAGUGAUCAUCACCCUGUCCUACAUUAAGUAUCCCUCCACCCAGCUGCUGCCAGCUCCCUUCAAUAUAAAACAGCUAACAUAUGAAGCACGGUAGAGACCUGCUCACACUUACCCUGCUCAUAGGCCUCCAUCCCACUCUGGUCAAGGGUUUAAGAGCACCGAAAGGCAGAAGAUAAUAGAGAAUAGUCAGAGGCCAAGAACGGAGUUUCAGAGCAGGCCUAGACAUACAGCUCAGCUGGCCCAACCUUCGCCUCAGGGCCAGCUGGGGGAAUUGCAACCUGAAAGAUUACAUACACAACAUAAGAGGGUCAGCAUCUCAGCUUCAUCAACUCCAGCUUCUGAUGGCUGGGAGUGAUUUAUUCCUGCUUAUCUUUAUGUAUACCUCAAUUCUGCAAAUCCUUACUGCUCUAUUUUGGUCCAUUCUUCCCUUUCCCAAAACAAAAGAUCAGUUUACCUCAAAAAAACGAAUGUCCUCUGCCCAAAUAAUGGUGUUGACUGUCACAGGUCAAAUUUCAUUAAUCACACCCUCAAAAAUUAAAGGCAAAAAUCACUUGCAGGGGACAUAUGAAAACAAAGUAACAGCUGGUUCAUCCAACUAAAAAUGUAACAGGAUAGUUUACAGUGGAAACAAUGGAGAGCAAAAGUUCUUCCAAGUAUCAGAAGAUCACCUCCCCAAAAAGUGCUGCUUGCGACUGCUCCAGCUCUUGCAUAGCCAAAGUGGACAGCAAACUGAGUAUUCUGAAAGCUAGGAAUCUAUGGCUGGGGGACAUUAAACCCUAACUGCAAGGAAGGGCAAUAUUAAGGAAAGAGCAGAUACCCUAGUGAAAGAAAUCCUUGAAGCCUAAGAAUUACAGUCCCUCACAGAUUUCUUCUGCUGGAGGCAUCCUGACUAUAUUGUGUCUUAAGCUGUAUUCUGUAUCACAAAAGAUGUAGGAGUCAAAUUUACACAGACCUGUUGGUCACUGACUGACUUCAGGAAACAAGCACUUAAUACUUCAGAGACAAACAGGAGUGUCAUUCCUGAGUUAAUUAAUACAAUGUUGAAAUAACCAAUUCCAAAAGACAGCUUUGCAGGCCUUAAAACCUUCACUGGAUACCUUGGCUCUGAACAGAGGAUAUGUAGACUAAGCAGAUAUUGCUAGUGCUGCAAGCUAAUCUGGUCUCCACAGCCCAGUCACUCUCUGGCCUCAUAACCAACCGCACCUAGAAUUUUGUGAUAUGGAUGUCUUGACUGAAAGCAAACAAAUGGCUUUUUUGCACAAAUGGCCAUGAGCAGAAGUUGAACUUGUGACUCUGAGCGGGGGAAACCUCAUCUUACUAGCAAAAGACAUCUUGAGCCUCAGUUCAGACUCCUGUGGGAGGUCUGGAUGAGACACCCUCCAGGUGAACUGACUCCCCAUUUAUUUUUUGGCUUCUCCUCAUGAAGAAGGUCUUGACUAAGCUAUUUCUCACAUUUCCAAAGUCACGUUAUCAAGCUAAAGUCUGCCUGUCUGAGGGAAAAAUACUCAAGUCUUCUGGGCACUGACUUAGCUCCUGGCUAAGAGAUUGUUCUCCCCACACUGCUGAAGACAAUAUGCCUGCAACCAGGAUACAGCUCUGUGUGCAUGCCGGCUGGAAGCAGCAGGCUCUGGCCGCACUGAACAGCCCUCUUCUUCACUGGAUUAAAUGAUAUUAAAGGAGAACUAUAACAUACUGUGCACUUCUUUCCAAAAUGGAAAGAAGCUAGAAAACCAAAACAGAAAUUUUGUGCCAACCUGUUCUCUUCAAAACCUGGAUCAAAAUAGCAGGCACAACCGUCGCCACUUUGGAAUGCAAGAUGGUGCUUUUGGCUCACAGAUUUUCUCUGCAGCAAACACAACUUCUUCCCCCCUGCUUCCUUCCCCCAAAAUGAAAGAACGAUCUGGGCAAAGUACAACCCCCCCCUGAGGAGAUGAAGCGCCAUCUCAGCAGAGGCAAAACAGGCUUUAUCAGCAGGAGGUGGGACUGCCUGCACACAGGAACAGCAAGGGGCACCUCACGUUCUCCCCGCUAUCCUUUCGCCUGCAGGCCUGCUCGAGGGCCGGCAGGGCCAGGAGCUGGGCUGCCAGGAGCGCGCGGCCGAGGUACCGCUCCCCCCCCACCGCUCUCCCCCCCUUCACUGCAGUCGGUCGUGGACCAAUCCCCGCAGAGCUGCAGCCUGGCAGCCUGCUCCAGAGCCCUCAGGCUUCUCACUGCCUUGGCCUGCUUUCAGAGCAGUCCCUCACUAAUUUUUCCUAUUCUCCUAAUCCAACAGAGUAGAAAAGAAAGAAACCCUUAUCAUUCCCCUUGUCAUAAAACAGCAUGCCCUUCUCCGCCAAUUCAGUGCAUAAGGAGCUUUAUAGUAAUUAGGCCAAACAAAAGCUUUGCAGAUGGCUGUCGCUGUGCCCAGAAACCCUCCCGUCCUCCCUCCCUUGUUUCUCCCUUCCUGCAAAGCAGAAAACACUGAACAGUACCUGAAACGGCUUCUCCUAUUUGGUGUACCCCCGGCAGAGCCAGCCGGGCCUGGACUCUCCAGUUGUGGGUGCUGGUCCCCGGCACAGCUGCUGCUGCCGCCGUUCCCUGAACGCAGCCUCCGGACAUGAAUUUUAACUUUGCGGAGGUUGUAGCAAGAGGGUGGAGGGUUAGAUAAAGCUUUAUAGCAUCUCACCAUUUCCCUGUGUGUAGAUCUGGUCCCUGCAGGGUGUUUGACUGACACAUCGUCAGGGUGACGGUUGGUUGCAAGGCUCAGUCUUUUUUCCUCUACCUCUCCUUCCUUUGCUUGCUCCGGCACAGGAGGGAGGACACGGCGUCACAGUUCCUAAUUCCCCCGCUGGUCUGUCUCUGGAUUCCCCCUCUGUUUCCCACUUGAAUCUCUGCUACGAGGGUCGCAGCUAUUGCAAACAAACAGGCAUUGUGUCAUAUUUCAACAUCCCACUACAAAGAUGACUCUGCACAAAAUAAAAGCAAGCUCUCCGUAUAAGCAGUCCUUGCUUCUCCCUAGUCAGGGUGGCCAUUGAAACCGAGCUCUCUGAAGAACACCCCGCAGUCUCAGGCUGGGCACCGAUGCACUACGGUCGGAAGAGCAGCCAGCUGGCCUUGCACAGCUAACCCAAGAGGCAGUUUGAAUACGAGGCUGGGAGGAGGAGCGGGGUGGAGAAGAGGAGGAGAUAAUUCCUAGCUUCAGUUCUGCAGUGCAGCAGCUGCAGCUAAAGGAGCUCCAGACUGCCGGGCAGUCAAACGUGUACAGCACCAAAAUUCCCUUCCUGCUCUUAAUAUCCAGUUUGGAAAGAAGAAAAAGUGAAGGAAAGGAACAUCUUUCCAUUUCACAAAUCCUUGCCAGCCACCAACAUCCAUCUCUCUUUCCAUCUCAAAAAACUCACCUAGGGAGCAGAUAAAGGACAUUGUUCUACAAAUCCCCAGAUGCAUAAUAAAAUAAGCCAAUUGUAGGGUCAGCUUGAGAAUCAAGUAUAAAAGAAAUGUUAAUGUGUUUUAUGUGGCUCUCAGUACCGUCAGAGUUUUUACAUCCAGUAGAACUAAAGUAUGAAGCAUGGAUGAAGGAAGAUUUUCUUCUUUUAAGACAAAAGGCUGUAGUAUUUCUAUCUCAGCAUUCUGAAUAUAUAUAGAGAGAAAUUCCCCUCUUUAGCUCUGCAGGCUACACCUCAAACCUAGCUUUUCUGCAUCUCCUGUUGACUAGACUUGGAUUGUUAAGAGAGAUUGAAACAGGACCCCUGGUUCACACAGCAGAAGUAAGCUAACCACAGUGCACCUCAGGAUUAAACCAAACACCCAGAACAGUUUAGGGGCUAACUCUUUAGUGACUGUUCAAUUCACUUAUGCUUUCUGUUAAAAUCUGUGGGUUUUUUAUUUAAAAAAGUCUCGUUUCUAAAGCUCUUUACACACUGUGAAAGCUGUAAGCCUUACAGAGUGGAUCAAAAAGAGCACUGGUGGAAGAAAAGGUUGUAUUUUAUUAGGGAUAAGACAGGAGAAGUGGGAGGGCCAGCAGGAAAAUCUAGAAUUAAAUAGCAAAUGGCAUCCCAUUUCAAGUAGGCCUUGAAGAGAAUAUAUUCUAGCAAGAGUUAUGUAUAAUGAUUCGCCUUCAACUCUAAAUAUUCCAGAUGUUCCCUAGGAACACCUCUGGAGUCCCUGUAUGAAAGUAUUUUUUCCCCGGGAAAAAAAACUCUUAUAUUGUAUUCUAUAUUGCAGGCUGUUCCAAGAUCUGUGUUUAAGUUGUUUAAGCUGAAUUUUAACAAUUACAUUAAAAAAAACCCAGUAAUUUGAAAGAUAGUAAACUUAAGAUCAGUUAACAGGCACACAAAAUGUACUCCUUCUUCCCCGAGCCCCCUGCCAAGUUUUUUGUUCUCCUAUUUCAAAUAUUCCUCACUCUUUCUUUGGCUGGCACAAGAAACGCCUACACACACAGAAAAGGAAGCCAUCUGUACAGUAAGAUGAAAGCAGUUACCCCAAAUCCCAGCAAAAUUCAAAAAGCAAUGAGGAACCCAGAGGAGCCAUUUCUCUUGAUUUGCCAGGAACAUUAGAAAUGACCACCAUUAAAUACUAGAUUUUAAAUAGAAACUGAAGCUAAAUUGACAACAUCCUUUUAAAAGGCACUUCAUCGGACCAAGAUGAACAUCAUUAAGUUAGCCAGAUACACCAUACCAAACAUGCACGGCCGGCUCACAAAGCUGUGAAAAGAAAGAUUUGGUUGAGCACUGGUGAACCAGGCGGGAGCAGCCUGCCCCAGCCCGCAGCCUGCCCUUCCCGCUCCUUCCCUGCUACUGAUUGUGAUCUCCUCCUUCACCCCCCUUCACCUAUGCAUGGCUCUGCAGAAAGACAACAGAGCAAACAAAAGUCUUAGCUGCAUUUUCUUCAGUACUCUCCUCUUAAGCAUACAGCAGAGAGGGAAACCCACAAGCUCUUUCCAUUAAAAAAAAUCAGUCUGAUCCCCCCCCAAUAUGUUCAAGAAAUUAUUAUAUCCUAGAUCACGCAUGCUUGAUUCCAGGAAAGUAUGGGUCAUAUUAAACAGCUAAUCUGCUGCCUAAACAUGAAUGGACAUUGAAACAUUCUGCUGUCCAGUGGUGAUAUUGCUGUGAAUUAAAAUAAGGUAAAUGGAGAAGCAAAACACAACGGGGACUAUCACCCUUCAGUUCAAAACAAAAAGUUUUGGAGCAGGAGAGAUUCCUCUCCAGGAAGAGAGAAGCGCUGGCAUUACAAGUUCUCUUUCUCCACUUCUCCAAGAACUCAGUUCAAAUAAGACGACCAGUGUUUCUCUUCUGUUCUGUUCUACUGACCUAAUUACAUUCACCGAGAUGCAAAUACCUGAGUCCUGCUUAAACGCUGACAUAUAAACAUACAUGGCAAGUUGCCAUUCUUGUUGCUGCUGCAGCAGAAGCAGCUUACAGUUCCGCAGUGUAAGAAGGGCAAAAUGAAAUAUCCACCCUGAGUUUACCUGCUUCCAAGGAGAACAAGGAAAGGGACCGGAACUGGUGAUUACCAAUUCAAAACAGGAACUCAUACAAUGUUUCCCAGUGGCUGGACUUCUCCGCAUCCAGGCAAUGCCACAAAGCCUGUUUUAUUAGCUUAGACAAGAAUGUUGUGGGUGCUGGUUAAGUAUGAGCUUGGACAUCAGUACCAAACUCCCCAAUCUGCCUGAACUCAUCCAGAAUCCAUGUUAAGUAAAUAAAGGAAGCGGUGACCAUGAGGUAUAAAUCCCUAAAGAAAUAUUAUCUAAUAAUGAACUGCUAAUCUGCCAGCUAUGCAACGCCAUUCUGCUCUGUCAGCUCAAAUAAGUGUCAAAUCCAGUGACCCCAUCUAAUUACUUGUCUUCUCAUUACUGGCUCAAGCCCUUCCCUCAGGAUUUCAAAAACAGCAAGCCAAGGCACUUGCAAGAAUAAGUGGUUAAUACACAACUGUACUCAAUAUCGAAACUAGGCUUGGAGUCCUCUGGUCUGAGUGCGUAAAUCCUUCCAGACACGCUUUAUACAUUUGGUAACUGCGACUGUUUAAAAGAUGCACUAAACGCAUCCAAAUAUGACAUUGGCAGUAGCUUUCCAGUGCACAGAGGAGAGGUACCGAGUGACAUUCUGCACCAUUCGUUAACGGUGCCAUUCCUUUCCCAGCAGCAUCUGUUUAAUUUCAGACACACGUCAUCCCUGCUCCCAUCCGACCUCCUUGUGAGUCAGCCCAGCAAGAGAAACGCUAAGUGCUCCGGACCCAGCCAGGAGCUCCUGAACUCUAAGAGCAAAACAAAACUGCUUUCAUGCUGCUGGGGAAACCUGAGAGCACAACUGGCAUCUGCAAAGGUCACAUGAGUUUUGAGUCACUUCCAGCGUGCAUGGGGAAGAGCAGGCCAACGGUACUGCUUGCUGCAGAUUUACUGGCACCGGCUAACAAAAUGUACUAUGUUCUGCUUCACCCAUCUUUCAUUUCUAAAAUUCUUUACUUUUAAUAUGAAGAAACCUUUCUACAAUUUUCCUUGAUUUAUUAAGCAAAAAGCUUUGAUUAUUUUUCCCCGUGAUUUUACACUGCUGUUUUAGUUCCCUAUAUAGAGGAAAAAAAGGUGGUAUCUUAACCUAGCCAUAAAAGGUAGUGGAUAGUCUCGAAGAUGUCUCCUGUGAAGCCGGGGAAAAAAAAAGUUUUAUUUACUUUUCCAAAGUGACAUGUAAGUUUCUGACCCUUGAAUACCCCAUGCUGUUUUAGUAUCUACUUCUGUAGUCACAUCUUCCGUUCCAUCGCUUUCAGAGAGGGAAAACCCUCUAAGACACUCGCAAAGGGAUGCCCUGCUUUGCGGAGGCGCUGCUGGGGCGCUGCAGGGUCCCGCCCCGGCGCCCCCCGCCCCCCGCCCGGGCCGGCUCCAGCCCCGCCCCUGGGGUAAAGCUGCGAGAUGACUCAGGAAGGAGCCGGGACUUUGGAACAUCUCUCCUGAAACUUCCAGCAAGCCGCAGACCGGUGAUUAAUUGCCCUUUGGUAAUCGGACCUUACACAUCAGCACCUGGAAGCCUGACGGCCUGGCCUGCCGCCGCCCCGCUUCGCCCCCGCUUCUUGGCGCCGGCGGCGGAAAAGCGACGCCGAGCCGCCUCGGCCAGCGGCCUCCGGGCACGUGGACGGACGCGCGGGGGGCGAACACCCCCCGUGCCCCCCCCCCGGCGCGGCCACCCCCCUCCCCGCGCCGCCCCUACCUCCCGGUGCAGGGCAGAGUGCUGCGGGCCCGGCCGGCAAGGGCUCCCCGCCGCCGCCGCCCGACCGCCGCCGGCAAGGGCUCCCCGCCGCCGGGCCGCUCCCGGCCUUAAGGAAGCGGCGCGGCCGGCGGCCCGCCCCGACUCGCCUCGCAGCCACUGGCGCCGCGGCGGGGGCAGCGCCGAAGGCUCGGGGCGGCCUCCCAGGCAGCCGCCGCCGCCCCCGCGGGGCCCCCGGCGGAGGAGGAGCCCGGCAGCAGCGACGGGGAAGCGAAGCGCGGCGGGGCCGGAGCGCGGCGACCGCGGCUGCCCGGGGAGCGCAGCGCGGCGGCGAGGCCGCUCCGAGGAGCCGCUGGCCCAGCCGCCGGGGCAGGGGGCUGCUGAGGGCACGAGGCGCGGCGGUGGCUUCGCAGGCAAAGCGGGGACGCGCUCUGCAGCCUCGCGCCGUGCUCCGGCAUGAGCAGAGCGCUCAGAUAAACCCCUUCGCAAGCCCAGCAAUUUAAUUCCUUAAAAAGGAAGUCUGGCGAGACUGGACAGAUUUAUAUAGCCAAAAAGCCAUCUCACUGGUUAAAAAAGUAUUAAUUUUACUCAGUGGUUCAAUUUUCCAGGACAAACGCACUGGCACACCCUGCUCUUGUUGGUGUUAGAAUUUCACCCACUUCAACAUGUUCUAAUCAUCUCUGCCAUGCACACUAGACUGCUCCUCCAGAAGCGCCUUCUGUAAUUGCCUGUUUGUUCAAAUAAAAGUCAAAAUACCAGAACACAGCAGCAAGUAUGCAGCAUAAGAGACCAACGAAUCAGAGAUGAUAUUUCAUUCUUCCGAGGCGGAGCAGGUUGGAUACAAAAAACAGAUUUUUCCAUUUUGGGGUCUCUUCUGAACUGGAUUCAGGUCACUUACCACGGCACAGUACUAAAGGUCUGCCUCCCCUGGGCCAAGACAAAAACACUGCAUGUAUUGUACUGCCAAAAUAACAUUCGGUACUCCAGUUAUCUAAACAUUUUUAAUAUCAAUAGGAAAGAAUGUGUUCCCAUUAUCUUUGAGAACCGAUAUCUUAAAUCUGUACUUUCAAAGCACUUCCCCAUUGUAUUGAGCCGUUUUAAAAACGGGGCACUGUGACAUUAAGCUGUCUCCCUCAGACGGAAGGGGACAGAGCUGCGCGUUAUCUGUCCUCUGCAUCAGAUGUCACUACAGCUCAGUUCCUCUCAAAGAUUCGCUGUGCUUUUUCUGAUGCUAUCACUCCAAUAGGGGAGACCCUUACACAAAAGCAGCGUUUUAAAUCACUUCAUCGGACCAGAACAAACUACGGAAGCAAGAGAACAGCAGCAAGAAAUUCCUCUUUCUGCAGAGCAACCCUGUUCAUCUGGUCACCCUGUUCAUGAAAACUCGCUCUUAGUCCAAGGUUUCCCUGAGUAAAUUAUGCUGUCCGUUAUCACCACUGCCCCAGUAGGCAGAUGAGAAGAGGGGAAAAUGCCUCUUGUUAGCAUAUCUACAGCAUGCUAUGCCUGUAGCUCCUGGCCAGGAAAUGUUCUGCGACAGCAAGGAUUUGAAGCAGACACAAAACCCGUUUGAAAUAAGCUUCAGCAAGAGAAGAAUAUAUAGAAGAGAGAUUUUCAGACAAAUUCCUCAGGAGCUAUCAUAGCCUAAGCUGCGAGCAUCCGGACCAUCUGUAUCAUAUCUGAUUUGGGUGGGGAAAAUGAGAAGGUGUGCUGCACUGAGCAAAGCCACAGCUUCUUCAGAGUUACUGCGGACGCACGCUUUAUGCUCUCUGAGGAUGCUGGUGGACAGCUGGCAGAAAACGAGUCAGCAGCGUGCCACGGCAGCAAUGAAGGCCAGCAGCAUACAGGGCUCUGUCAACAGGAGCAGAAGCCAAGGGAAGCUCAAGGCCUAUUACACUGCUGAAGUCCAAACUCCACAGAUGUCUCCCAGUGAAUCAGGUAACACAGUCAAGUUUUCAACAAAUUCCCAUCUGUUGUUACAUUCUAUUGUUUCCUCAUUAUCCAUUAUGUAUUAAGCUUGAUGUCUGCCUACUGAAUCAGUCACUUCAUAGCCUAACACACAACGUUAUUUCAUCAGUUUUCAUGUAAAUAACAGAUACCAUUUUGGCUAUCAGGCUUAUUACGCAGGGCUAUGCUAUUACAAAAGUCUCUCAGACAACAUCCACACAAACUCCUUCACACCACCUUCAAAAUAUCUCUCCAGAAAGCCAGAGACAAGCAUGCCUGGCUUGAUUCUCGGCCAUGCCCACCUGCUAGGAAUACUCAAAAGCACCAGAACAGAACAUUAAAAAAAAAAAAAAAAGUUGCAGAAUGUGAUAAACCAUUAAAUUUAAGUAAAUGACUCUUGUUAUCCAGCCCAUUUCAAUUUACUGACAAAAAGGUGACUUCAUGAUUUCGUCCAACUGUAUAGCGAUUAUCAAAAGACAUACUCUGAGAUUUACUGUUUGUAGAAAAUAAGACAUUCUUAGUAGUUGUCCUUUGAAAACUCCUUAGAACAUCUGUAAGACCAAUUUUUAUAAGUUAAAAAGAUGAUGUGGUUUAGAGCAAAGACAUUGGCAGCAAGAGGUUCCUACGCAUUAUGAACAAUUUAGCCCCUAGCAUGAUGUUUGAUUUGUAGAAUUUCCUUGUGCUUCAACAACCCAACUGGACAGGAAGGUAAAGAGUCUAAAAAGCAAAACUCCUAUGACUUUGUGGUCAUAAGCAAGGAAGCUGCAUUACACAACAGUGUCAUAACUGUAAGAUUGAAGGGUAAUAUUUUCUGAAGGGAGCUCAGUUUGACAGUACAUACUGUUUUAGAGUUGCUGUGAUAGUUUAUAUAUAGCAUUAUAUUGACUUCAUUACUGUGAUGUCUCCUGACUGUUAGGAAAGUAAAACUACUGAUGGAAAACAUUGCCUGUGACAGAUCCUGACACACAUUCUCCCAGUGCUAAAACAGUACAUUAUGGCAUAUAACUCUAUAGGCCAUACUGGCACAUCAAAUGCAAAUACUAACUUUCUAACUAACUAACUUUUCCCUUCUGUGAACAUCUAAAAUAGAAACGGGACUUAAAAAUUUCCAUUUUGACCACUGCUCAAGAUGCAAUGCAGAAACCUCUUAAUAAUCCGACUCAGCCUCCUGCACAGCUCACAGACUUGUUUUGAAAGGCAAGUCCAGGUAUGGGAGCAAAAAUUAAGUUUGCUCAAUAUGAACACACGUACCCUCAAGGACAGAAAAAAAGCUUGAGUGAAAAGUUUCUAAAUGACUGAUGUAACAUGUGUGUAAAGCAUAUGGAAUACUGGCUCACUACAGCCAGUCCAUUAAAGUGUUUUUUAUAUAAAACCUGUCCUGACAUGAAUAUAUCUGCUAAAUAUACUGUCUCUCUAAAGCAGAGAGACUUUUCAAGCAUAGCGUUCUCAGACAACUACAUGAUCUGUAGAAAGUAAUUAAGAAAAUAAAACCCAUGGUCAAUGGGCUUUAAUUUGCUAUACUGAGAUCAUAUUUACUAGAAAAGUUUUAGGUGUUUAGAAAAGUUUAAAAACUACAGGUAUAGGGGCUCCAAUAUAUAUGUUCUUCCCCACAAAGUGCUUUUUCCUCUAACACCUAUUACUAGGAUUGCUCUAAGCACUGAGCUCACAGUCCAUCUGAUUAAAUUUGGUUUACAUAAUAUUCUACUUUCUCCAGCUGUUGAAACUAGGUAGUAUGGGGAAAUUAUUCAUUUUGCAUACAGCUUACCUCGAAAAUGACACGAUUGUGACAUAACUAACUUCUAGUUUACAGUAUGUUAUUAAGAGUUUAACAAAAAUGCCUGCAAGGGAGAACUUGCUUCACCAGUGUGCUGACAUGAAUGUGAUACAAGAAAGGUGCAUUUGUAUUGUAUUUACAUGCCAAGAGGCAUGCCUGAAGCAUGUGGAGCUGCUUGGCUCUUGUAAUGUUUGCACAUAUUAAGUUAUUUAAAUCGCACACUUGUCAAAAACCAUGUAUUACCAAGGAAGAUGGAAAUAGAUCCCAAUAUAAAUUUCCCUUACCAAGGAAAAACAAAGAGAGAGAAUGUAGCAGCCAUGACUAUUAUCCUAGCUCCUCUUCUGCUGGGCCUGCUAGACAGGUUUCCUCAGAAGUGCUAAUAUCAGUGAAAAGGAUGAGCUUCAAAGGAUCAAGGAGGCUUGAGAAAAAAAAAAAAGGCAAAUAUCCUCAAAGGGGAUAAACUAAAACAUGCCAUUAAGGUGGCACAUCUCAACACAACAAAGCAAGUCACAGGAUUUUUUGUGGUAGAGAAAAACACAGCUACGAUAUGGAGUGAGAGGGAACAAAGAUAAUGAGGAAGAAAACUCAGAAGAUAAAGAAGUGCAUGUCCUGUUAAGCCCCAACAGGGGUAUUCCCCAGAUGACAUCGGCUCUGCCUUUCCAGUUUUAGCCAAAAACAAGUACUGCUCUGGAUACUGUAACUCCUAAACUGCUGUCCACAUUUGUUUGUCUGCAAGACUCCCCAUAUCUAUAAAAUCAUCCUGGAAUAGGUGGCACUUCGAAAGGAAGGCAGUGGAAGCUUUUAGUCGUGGUUAGGGAAGCUAUUUCUCUUAAAUACUCCUGUUGUUUGAACAAAUAAUUUCUCUUAAGGUUUUGUUGUUGCUGCUGCUGCUGCUGCUACAACAUUUGCUAUUCAUGUAUUCCAGAAUAGUUGAGAGACAAUAAAUAACAUCUCAUAAGGAAUCUUAUGAGAUAGAUAAAUUCGAUUCUUUUACUGGCUAGAAAACAAAAGACCAAAGGAGUAAAGCACCAUUUGCAAGCAUAUGCCUAUGGAAAUGCCAGGAACUGAAUAGGUCUCUAGACUCCCAACUCCAUCUCUUUUAAUCUCAAGAAUUUCAUAUUCGCCCAUAUGUGACCUUCCGUUUGCUUAAUUUUGAGCUGUUGCAUUUACAGAUUUAUUGCAACCUUUAAUUUAAAAACGCUGGAUAGGCAAGAGUCUUUCUUCACUUACCACUGAAAAAGGUCCUAGAAGGUGGCUGUUUCCACAGAACUUGAGUUCUAAUACACAGCUUCCCAGGUAUAAGCAAGUUACAGCUAGUCAGCAAACUGCAAAUAGAACACACAAGAAACGUUGCCUAAGUACAGAUGUUUUAUAAUGCAAAUCUAAACACUUCAACAUAGUGAGAUGAUCUUAUACUCAGCAGCCGAUUAACAUAAGAGGGAAAAGUCUCCUUAGAGUCAUAAAAUUCCUGCAGAAUCUUUCCCAUCUAGCCUAUUCCAAAAUCUGUCAAUUCAAUUACUCCUGCAAAUACUGGAUUUAUUUAAUGUUGCAUCCAUUUUAUCUUUUCCUUUCCUCAUCAAAAUAUUGACACACGUUCCUCUUGAAGUUAAUUACAUCAGAACAGUGAUACUUAGAUGGUAUCGUGUGUGCGCUGAUCUCAACAACAUCCCUUUUGGUACAGUAUAUUGAUGUCAUUAUGUACCAUAUCUCGGGCUGUUAUAAGUUCUAAUAUAGUUAUGAUUCUGAAUACAACCUGAGUCUUACAAAAAAAGUGGGGGGACAAGCUACUAUUUUCAUGUAUUUCAUAGACUGGUCAGGCCUAGAUGUUUGAUAAUCUGUUACUUUUUUUUUUAAUAAGUGGCUCUAGAACUGAUGAGAGUCACUUCUCUAGAGCUACGUCCAAUUUAACACAAACUAACUUUUAUCCAACAGCACGCAAAUAACACCUUCUGAGGCAAGUACAUUACUUGCAUUUUGCUGGGAUAAAUGAGAAUGUUUAAAGCAAGAAUUCUCUACUUACAGAGAAGGCACAUAGCGCAAGCAUCAACCUGAUCUUCUGCAACAACCUGGCUAAUAUGUAUUUACCUCCAUCCAAAUACAAUGCUCCUAGUGGACAAAGGCAAGUUCAGCCAUCCUGAUCAAAGCAAACUCUGCUUGCAAACGUAGUGGUCAAUUUUGUAAUGACAUCAUUUAACGUUUGGGAUUAUUUCUUCUCCACCAGGCUGCCACACAAAUAUCAUUUAGGAAGUUCCUUCAACAGCUACCAUUUUAAGACACACUCAUGAAUUGUGUUCAUGUAUCUCUUUCCUUACCAGCUUGGUGGGGAGGUGGGUACAUAGAAAAGAUACAGGUUGUAUGAAGAAGUAUUAUAAUUUAUUAGACCAACUGGUAUAGCUGGAAAACUAAAAAAGCUGCCAGGCACAGAAGCUCUUCUUUAGAGCUCUGAAACUUGUCUUACCACUUUUUUAUACUGGUGAAUUGUAAUGUCAGUGGUUCUGCCACUCUGAAAACACAAAAAAUAAAGCUCAUAACUGGCCAACAUUGGAAAAACCAUCAACCAGGAUUUUUGAUAUAUCUAAUACAAAAUAUUUCAUGUUUCUAAUAAAUCUGAAACGGUUUCA